UUGGUGGAGGGUAUGGCUAUGGCGCUGCGCACCAUGGCCGCCAAGCUGAAGCAGAAGAUCCCCGCCGCUGUCCAGCGGGUUCGCGUCUCUUCUCGUGCUCCGGCACCUGCUGAUGCUGACUUCGACCGCUUCGGCUUCGGCCCAGAGUUUCGCCGGGCACUGGACAAGAUUGUAGAGAAACACAGGAAGAGGCGCAGGGACGAGGCCUUGGCCUGUGGUGCUGGCUUCAGUCUUGGAGCACUCACCUUUUUGCUUGGGGUCCAUAGGCUCGGUUGAAGGGAGAUGGCUCAAUGGUGAAUGACUGGAAUAUCUAUCCUGCACCGCAUGUUCUACUAUCUACUACUGCACCCGCAAGUUCUACUAUCUACUAGUACUCUAUAUAUCAUGCAUGUUUUAACUAGCCGGUGUACUCUGUAAUUCCUGGCUUGUGUGUUAUGUAAGAUCACUACUGUAUGUACAAUGGGGAUCCAGGUUCUGUGGGAUCUAAUUUCGGUGGUUGCAUGUGGGAUGUAAGGGCAUUCUAUCGCCACUCUUAUCUGUUGUUAUCAGAGAUCUAUAUUCAGCCGUGUUGUUAAUC